AUUGAACGCUGGCGGCAUGCCUUACACAUGCAAGUCGAACGGUAACGCGGGGCAACCUGGCGACGAGUGGCGAACGGGUGAGUAACGCAUCGGAACGUGCCCAACAGUGGGGGAUAGCCCGGCGAAAGCCGGAUUAAUACCGCAUACGACCUGAGGGGGAAAGCGGGGGAUCGCAAGACCUCGCGCUGAUGGAGCGGCCGAUGUCAGAUUAGGUUGUUGGUGGGGUAAAGGCCUACCAAGCCGACGAUCUGUAGCUGGUCUGAGAGGACGACCAGCCACACUGGGACUGAGACACGGCCCAGACUCCUACGGGAGGCAGCAGUGGGGAAUUUUGGACAAUGGGGGAAACCCUGAUCCAGCCAUGCCGCGUGCGGGAAGAAGGCCUUCGGGUUGUAAACCGCUUUUGUCGGGGAAGAAAUCCUCUGGGCUAAUACCCCGGGGGGAUGACGGUACCCGAAGAAUAAGCACCGGCUAACUACGUGCCAGCAGCCGCCGUAAAAC
rnacentral:rRNA from 1 species